rnacentral:rRNA from 1 species
AGGCCUUGACAUCGGAUGCGAAGUUCCAGAGAUGGAAUGGAGGGUAUCAUCCAGACAGGUGGUGCAUGGUUGUCGUCAGUUCGUGUCGUGAGAUGUUGGGUUAAGUCCCGCAACGAACGCAACCCCUGUGGCAUGUUGCUACCAUUGAGUUGAGGACUCAUGCCAGACUGCCGGUGACAAACCGGAGGAAGGCGGGGAUGACGUCAAAUCAUCAUGCCCCUUAUGGCCUGGGCUACACACGUACUACAAUGGCGCCUACAAAGAGAAGCGAGUCUGCAAGGAUGAGCGGAACUCAUAAAGGGCGUCCCAGUUCGGAUUGAAGUCUGCAACCCGGCUUCAUGAAGUUGGAAUCGCUAGUAAUCGCAGAUCAGCAUGCUGCGGUGAAUACGUUCUCGGGCC